UACGAAGGGGGCUAGCGUUGCUCGGAAUCACUGGGCGUAAAGGGUGCGUAGGCGGGUCUUUAAGUCAGGGGUGAAAUCCUGGAGCUCAACUCCAGAACUGCCUUUGAUACUGAGGAUCUUGAGUUCGGGAGAGGUGAGUGGAACUGCGAGUGUAGAGGUGAAAUGCGCAGAUAUCAGGAAGAACACCCGUGGCGAAGGCGGCUCUCUGGGACGGUACUGACGCUGAGACGCGAAAGCGUGGGGAGCGAACAGG
rnacentral:rRNA from 1 species